AUGGAAAAAGGGAAAGUAAAUGAUGAUGGAAAACCAGACCCAGAAAAUUCCUUGGACUUUUCUGAACACUUUAACCAACUUGAAUUGUUGGAAACACAUGGACACCUUAUUCCCACUGGUACCCAAAGUCUCUGGGUAGGGAAUUCUGACGAGGACGAGGAGCAAGAUGAAAAAACUGAAGAGUGGUAUCAACUGCAAGAAAAAAAGAUGGAAAAAUCCAAGCAAAUUGCUUCUUUGGGCUGCAGAAAAAAAUCGGCUUACCACAGUGCGGAGACUGCUGUCUAAAAGGCCACUCACGUGACCGCUAGAGAUGAAGAUGAAUAUACCCCUCUUCAUCGAGCAGCCUACAGUGGACACUUAGACGUGGUGUGUGAGCUGAUUGCACAAGGGGCGGAUGUCCACGCAGUGACUGUGGAUGGCUGGACACCCCUGCACAGUGCUUGUAAGUGGAAUAAUACCAGAGUAGCUUCUUUCUUACUCCAGCACGACACAGAUAUUAAUGCCUAAACAAAAGGCCUCUUGACCCCGUUAUAUCUCGCUGCCAGGAACAGGGACAGCAAAGAUACCCUGGAGCUCCUCCUGAUGAACCGCUACAUCAAACCAGGUCUGAAAAACAACUUGGAAGAAAUGGCCUUUGAUAUUGCCAGGAGGACAAGUAUCUAUCACUACCUCUUUGAAAUUGUGGAAGGCUGCACAAAUUCUUCACCUCAGCCAUAAUGGUUCUAAUAAUUUUCUUGAGUUUCCAAGUACCAGUGCCUCCUUUGUGUGAGAUAGGACAUAUCCCCAUGAUACAAGGUUGACAUCAAAAGUUUUAUGGUAGAAAUCCAGUGGUACACAUUCAAAUGCCCUUCCAAGCGACAUGCCUAAUCUUGAUGUCAAAAUACGUUUGAAAGUUGUUUGGAUACACCUUUACUGAUCUAUGUGGACUUUGUAUUUUUAUCAGAAAUGAUUUUAACACACUUAAAAACUUGUAACGGGUUGUACAGAAAACUAAUGAUAUUUUUGGUGCUGAUCCAAGAGAAGUGUAUUUUUAAAUAUUCCCCCAUCCUGGGUCUUUGUGGAGUAUUUAGUAUAUUGACAUGUAUUUUUAUAAGGUGAGGUAACUCAGAAUUUAAUUUAAAAAACUCAAGUAUACUGGCGCAGUUCAGCUGUCUUCUCCACAUCACUAUGGCCAUUUGCUUUCAUUUUAAACCGUAAGAACUAACUUAUUAGUGACUUGAAUUGUCAGAAGUUUAAGAAAACGUUAAAGAGCUUAGAUCUUUGUCUUUUAGAGCAUAGACCAUUUUCAGCAAAGUAGUUAGCUAGAGUGUUUAGUCCGUGAAUGUUAUAUACUUUGCCUCCGCUACCACAGUUCACACAAUCCUGUGGACAGUCCUACCUCACCCUGGUCAACCCACAUGAUCCUUCUUCCAUUGGUGAGUCGGCAUGACCUUUUAGACAUGCACACAACUCUACCUUGGUCCAAGAGAUCAUAAUAUAUCUGCUUGCCAACUGGUUUUACCUGCCUAAUCCUGUUUGUUCGGGGCACUGCUCAGAUGGUCUCUGUAGUUCACAGGAAGUAUCGAUUUUUCCAAGUCCUCCUUUUAUACAAAUCCUACAAAGGCAAAGAGACAAGGGAAAAGGAAUUCUAAGAGUUUAGGGAUGAUGAUUAUACUGGGGCUAGAUUAUAAGUGGCUCAGGCUUUAAAAAGCCACAGUGUGGAUGGUGACACAAGUAUAAAUAUGAAUAUUCAGAAAAAAAUAAAAGCUUUGAACAACAA